rnacentral:rRNA from 1 species
UACAGAGGUGGCAAGCGUUGUUCGGAAUUACUGGGCGUAAAGGGCGCGUAGGCGGCCUUCUAAGUCAGACGUGAAAUCCCCCGGCUUAACCUGGGAACUGCGUCUGAUACUGGGAGGCUAGAGUGCGGGAGAGGGAUGCGGAAUUCCAGGUGUAGCGGUGAAAUGCGUAGAUAUCUGGAGGAACACCGGUGGCGAAGGCGGCACCCUGGACCGACACUGACGCUGAGGCGCGAAAGCUAGGGUAGCAAACGGG